AAUUCUCAACUAUUAUCAACUUUUGCUGAUAAUGGCUUGGAUGUGGGGGUCUAUUUUGCUGGCUUCUCAGAUAGUCAGCUCCCCUUAAAUGCAUUAGCCGGUGCCCUGGGUGGACUGUCUAUUGGUGUGAUAAUUAUCUACGCUAUAGACAUCUGCAAUCAUAUGGGUUUGAGCUGCUUCUAACAGUCUGUUGAUUCAGACAAUACAUGACA
rnacentral:misc_RNA from 1 species